UUCUCCAUCGAACAUGUACAUAACAAUUGUGAUCAUAUUAACUGUACUUCAGUUUUGUGUUUUUAUUCAAAUGUUAUCUCCUUUUUUUCUCUCUGAGAAAUAUACUGUCACUGAUGUGACAGGGUCUAUACUUUAAUAACGUGUAUAUGUCUAAAGCAGGUUGUGUUAUUUACAUGUUUCUACACAUUUCAUCCUUUAAAAGAUUGUUCAGAGAGGUUGUAUUUACCUUCCCAAGGCUGGAAAGCAGGGGAAUUUACUAGUUUCCUAGUUUUCCACCAGAGGAAUAUGUGUAAGUAGAAAAGUGUUAGCUGCUUACAUAUAGUGUGUAUGUAUGGAUGGAUAUAUGUAAAUUGUGUGUUAAAGGGCUGAUACUGAUUUUCAUAUGACAAUGUUAGGCAAAGGCCUCCCUGCACUUGAAGAGCAGUGGAAAUGUGGGGGGAGACCAAAGCUGCGAUUCCAGUCCACACCAGAGCCCAGAAAGAUUCCCAGGGGCCUGGAGAUGCCUCCUGAGCACCAGGAGCCUGUGGAAUGCAGGAAGGAUGGUCCUACAGGGACCACGAGGAACAGCAAUUGUCUGUAGUAAAAUACGAAUGACAAAGGCAGGAAGGCAAAAGAAGGCUCCCAGGUCGGCCCAGGUACAGGCCAGACAUCAGGCCCCAGGGGUCUGGAGCGGGCAGGAGGUGAAUGACAGGACAUGGCGUGAAGCAAUCAAUUUAUAUGGAGGACAUGAGUGAGAUCAGAAGAGGCCGCUGAACGCUGGACUUGAGCCAAGCAUGGGGUGCCCGGACCCGCUCUUGACUCACAGGAGCUGGACCUCGGGUCAUCCCAAGCCACUCCUGGCUUAUGGUGGGAGCGCACAUGUUCCAAAACCCAGGACAGUGAGGACUGUAUUUGGGGCAGAGUAAGAAGAAAUGGAUCAGAGCAACAUACAAAAGAUCUAAGGACAAUAAAUAAAGGCUUAAUUCUUGUUUUAAACAUAAUUUGUCAAAGUGUUUGCAUUUUUGUGAUUUUGUU